GAGUUUGAUUCUGGCUCAGGAUGAACGCUAGCGAUAGGCUUAACACAUGCAAGUCGAGGGGCAGCAUAGAGUCAGCUUGCUGAUUUGGAUGGCGACCGGCGGAUGGGUGCGUAACGCGUAUGCAACUUACCUGUCAGAGGGGGAUAACCCGGAGAAAUUCGGACUAAUACCGCAUACACUUGAGAUACUGCAUGGUAUUUCAAGGAAAUAUUUAUAGCUGACAGAUAGGCAUGCGUUCCAUUAGCUGGUAGGUGAGGUAACGGCUCACCUAGGCAACGAUGGAUAGGGGAACUGAGAGGUUAAACCCCCACACUGGUACUGAGACACGGACCAGACUCCUACGGGAGGCAGCAGUGAGGAAUAUUGGUCAAUGGGCGAGAGCCUGAACCAGCCAAUUCGCGUGAAGGAUGACUGCCCUAUGGGUUGUAAACUUCUUUAGUAGGGGAUUAAAGUUUGCCUUGCGAGGCAAG
rnacentral:rRNA from 1 species